rnacentral:rRNA from 1 species
AACGAACGUUAGCGGCGCGCCUAACACAUGCAAGUCGAACGCGACAGGGGCAACUCUGUUGAGUGGCGCACGGGUGAGUAACACGUAGGUAAUCUCCCCCCGAGUGGUGGAUAACCUUCCGAAAGGAGGGCUAAUACAGCAUAAGACCACGGCUUCGAAAGGAGCUGAGGUCAAAGCGGAGGAUCGCAAGACUUCGCGCUUGGGGAUGAGCCUGCGGCCCAUCAGGUAGUUGGCGGGGUAACAGCCCACCAAGCCUAAGACGGGUAGCUGGUCAGAGAGGAUGAUCAGCCACACUGGAACUAAGACACAGUGCAGACUCCUACGGGAGGCAGCAGUGGGGAAUCUUGCGCAAUGGACGAAAGUCUGACGCAGCGACGCCGCGUGGGUGAUGGAGGCCUUCGGGUUGUAAAGCCCUGUGGGGAGGGACGAAUAAGUUUCAGCUAAUACCUGAAGCGAUGACGGUACCUCCUUAGCAAGCACCGGCUAACUCUGUGCCAGCAGCCGCGGUAA